CCCAAUCAAUUGCAGAAUCCCCUUGGCUUUUCAAUUGCAAAAAUGAAGGGAUUGGUUUUACUGAAGGCGACUCCUAGAAUUUCCUUUCAAUCAGUUCCUUCCUUCAAUCACCAUCCUAAUUUCUUCCUCCGCCGCUCCAAUUUUCCGGGCAUUCAAGACCAACAGUCGGAGACCAAAUCCCCGAAAAGGGAAGAGGAGGAAGAUGCGUUGAAAGUGAAGGAAUGGGAAGUUCGAAUGUUCCAAAACGAAGUCGCUGCGAGUCAAGGCAUAAGACUAAGGCGAACACCGCCUAUGGGUCCGCCGUUGCAUUACGUGGGUCCUUUCGAGUUCCGUUUCCUCGCAAUAUUCUCGAAGAAAUCAUUUGGCAGUACAAAUUGAUCCCACAAUUCUGUCUACAAAUUAAGUCAGUUAUCAAAGAUAAGGGUCGCCAUUGCCAAAGUUUGGUGAAUGGGAUGUCAAUGACCCUGCAUCAGCUGAGGGAUUUACAGUUAUCUUCAACAAGGCUA